rnacentral:rRNA from 1 species
CCUACGGGAGGCAGCAGUGGGGAAUUUUGGACAAUGGGCGCAAGCCUGAUCCAGCAAUGCCGCGUGAGUGAAGAAGGCCUUCGGGUUGUAAAGCUCUUUUGUCAGGGAAGAAACGGUGAAGGCUAAUAUCCUUUGCUAAUGACGGUACCUGAAGAAUAAGCACCGGCUAACUACGUGCCAGCAGCCGCGGUAAUACGUAGGGUGCAAGCGUUAAUCGGAAUUACUGGGCGUAAAGCGUGCGCAGGCGGUUUUGUAAGUUUGUCGUGAAAUCCCCGGGCUCAACCUGGGAAUGGCGAUGAAGACUGCAAGGCUAGAAUCUGGCAGAGGGGGGUAGAAUUCCACGUGUAGCAGUGAAAUGCGUAGAGAUGUGGAGGAACACCGAUGGCGAAGGCAGCCCCCUGGGUCAAGAUUGACGCUCAUGCACGAAAGCGUGGGGAGCAAACAGGAUUAGAUACCCUGGUAGUCCACGCCCUAAACGAUGUCUACUAGUUGUCGGGUUUUAAUUAACUUGGUAACGCAGCUAACGCGUGAAGUAGACCGCCUGGGGGAGGUACGGUCGCGAGAAGUUAAAACGUUAAAAGGUAAAGUUAGUACGGCGUGAGACGUGCCGACGGACGACGACGAGGGAGGUAGG